GCGCUGCCUUCAGAGCUGGGCAGCCAGAGAGUGGCGGCUGUUGGCUGGGCGCCCAGCUCUGAAGGCAGCGCCCCACCAGCAGCAGCGCAGAAGUAGGGUGGCAAUACCAUACCAUGCCACCCUUAUUUCUGCAUUGCUGCCUGC